AUUGUUUUAUAAAGGUCCCAUAUUCAGUCAGGCUUGCUGUUAAAAUUAAGUCACAAAAGAAAAAAAUAUUUUCAGAAGUUCUCUUUGUGGCUCAGCGGUUAGCAAACCCGUCUAGGAUCCAUGAGGAUGAGGGUUCGAUCCCUGGCAUCGCUCAGUGGGUUAAGGAUCUGGUGUUGCCGUGAGCUAUGGUGUAGGUUACAGACACAGCUUGGAUCUGGCGUUGCUGUGGCUGUGGCGAGGGCCAGCAGCUGUAGCUCCCGAUUUGACGACUAGCCUGGGAAAUUCCAUAUGCCUCGGGUGCAACUCUUAAAAAGAGAGAGAAAACAUUUUCAACCUAUAAUUAAAUUUAAACCAUUAUAUUAUAAAAUCAUAUUAUAUUCAACUUUCAGUUUUUUUUUUUUUUUAAAGAGUCAGGUCUUAGUGUACUCAAAGGAAAUUAAGCAUAUUAAAAAGACGAUGGCUUCAAAGACUAUACAAUCUAGUGGAGGAAGAAUGUAUAAUCACUGAAUCUAAACGAUAGUAAAGUGUCAUCAUUCAAACUAAUUCUGGGAGAAAAACUUAGUUGGCCCCUUCUUCAAAAACAUGAUUAAAAAAGUAUCAACUUUUAAAAGUCCCAGCCAUAUGCCAACCUCCUAANNNNNNNNNNNNNNNNNNNNNNNNNNNNNNNNNNNNNNNNNNNNUAUAUAUAAAACCCUUCUUAUCUAAAAGUGACACAGUUCUCAUGUAAUCUAGUGGUUUCUCAUUUAUCUCCCCAAAUCUUUGAAGACUUAAUCCAAAAUGUGAGCACUAUUCAACAAUGGUAAUUUAUGCUAAGAAGCAUAUACGUUUAUGAAAAUUUAGCAUAUUACAAAUAUGCCACUGAAUUAUGAGGCUAAAGAAAGAACUCAGUUCCAAAAGAAGAAACCACUGUGACAAAGGAAGCAGUCUCCCAAAUUCAGGUGGAUACUGAAGAUGAGCUACAGCUGGUUCCUCUGGACAUGAGAUUUUCUGACCUGGCAUUUUUCUAUGUAUUUAUUUACACCUUUUAGUGUAAUAUGGCUCAAUUAACUCAGUGUAUACAAGAAGUAAAAAGGGGUUUUAAAAAAUAGUAUGAAGUAUGUUAAAUAGCUGUUAAAGUAAUACUAAUACUAAUAACGUAAAGUAAUAAUAGGCUGAAAUGGCAAGGUGAGAUCUGGGGUGGGGGCAGCCGAAUACUCCCAGAUAAGACUCCAGAGCACCAGUUCAUAACCUCUUUUCGGACAGGAUAAAUCCAGGACCUAUUCCAAUGGAUAAUCUCAUAUUUUGACCGAGUUUUUAAAAUGCUGAAAGGAAAACAGUCUCACAGAAACUCAGAAAUGACGUAAUCCUCGUGGUACAUUGACACCACCUCUCAGGCUGGGCUGGGGCAGGCGGUGUUGCUACACAUCACACCUCUUCCCUGCACACCAGCAGCAACUCCACACCUUGCAGGAUACUUGUCAGGAUGCAAGUAAAUCAGUAAAGUCAGAAUGCUAACCUGACACUAAUUUGUUUCUAAAAGGGAGAUGACUCCAAACAAUCAACUGGUGAUAGUUCACAAAAGACAGAAUAUCAGUAUGUCAGGAGACUGGUUAACAGUAACUGUUCUAGACUUUUAUCAAGGCUUUAGAGCGUAAGGGCACAUUCCUUAGAGUGUGCAAGAUUUACAUAAGGAUUUUUUUUUUUUUUUUCAGCUGCACCUGCAGAAUGCAGAAGUUCCCAGGCCAGGGACUGAACCUGAGCCACAGCAAGUGACAAUGCCAGAUUCUUAGCCCCUAAGCUACUGGGGAACUCCCUAUAUAAGGAAUUUAAAGCUUGUAACUGAGAAGUUUAUUAAUUGAUAAUUAGGAAACUAACUGUUUUGAUAAACCAGAGGUCUUUGGAUAGCCAUUCUCAGCAUGAAGCCUUUGUUCAUCCUUUUCCUAUCUGGAAAAUACAUCCCACCAUGACAUUUUGAGAUUAUAAAUAAUCAGACAAAGAGUGUCAUGGAGGAUCAAGCUCUAAAAGCAGAGAUGAAGAGUUAGAAGAGCGGCUUGCAUAGGGGACGGUCUUAAGGCAGCAGGGUAGCUACAUCCUAGAACAAAGUAAAUGCUAAAAGAAAGC
rnacentral:lncRNA from 1 species